AUCGAGAAGGAGAGGGAACGAUGACUACAAACAAGAUGGCCUUCUCCCCCGACCCGACCUCCUUCCCAGGCACUCACACGCCCUCCUGUCCACAACCCUCCGCGUGUGUGGUACCUGACGGGAGUCGCAGUCCAUCUGCUGCCUUCCCGCUGCCAUUUCUACUCGUCAGGAACAAUGGAAAGGUGAAAAGGAAAGAGGACUACAAGCAAGAUGGCGGAAGAGGGACAUACACCUGACUAGUAGUCGAUCUUACGAGGUGCGAUGGGAUUAGUAGUUUUAUAGCCUUCCAGUGUUCCUUAAGAAUGGCGGAACCAGGAGGACGAGGAGACUACCGUAAAGAUGGCAGGCUACCUAGCCUCUCCCGGUCUCCGCUUUCCACCACCUUGGGCACCUCGCCCGCCUGUGGUCUCGAAAUCCCCCCCACCAGUGGCGCACGGCCUGACGGGAGUUGCAGUCUCCCGGCUCCCGUCUAUCAUCUCAAGUCGAGACAAUGGAAGGGGAUGGGGCGGGGCCACCGGCAAAGAUGGCGGCUGCAGGGCCGGGGCGACUGCGACAUGGGAUGUGUAGUCCAGGCGUCUGGCCUCUUCCCUGCGGAAAUGAGGGAGAGGACUACGAAAAAGAUGGCGACCUCGCCCCUCGACCUCUGCGCCGGUGCCUGCUGGGAAAUGUAGUUCCUUGCCGAGUCCAACAGAGAAAGGACGUCGCUGUUGAAAUGUGAAUCCCGGCGGACACGCCAAAUUGCGAGGCGACGGAAACGGAAAGACUCUUUUCUCCUCUCUCCGCCACCGGCUUCUGAACAGCCUGGCGGGAAAUGUAGUCCCAAGCUUUCACUCGCGAGUGGAGGGGAAGGAUUUAUGUCACCAGUGGGGAUCAGUGCGGGUGGGGGAGAAAAACGUCGGGCGAUCCGGGAAUAAAGAAUGUCCGCCUCUCCA
rnacentral:lncRNA from 1 species